rnacentral:rRNA from 1 species
CAGUAAGAGCUUGCUCUUAUGGGUGGCGAGUGGCGGACGGGUGAGGAAUACAUCGGAAUCUACUCUUUCGUGGGGGAUAACGUAGGGAAACUUACGCUAAUACCGCAUACGACCUACGGGUGAAAGCGGAGGACCUUCGGGCUUCGCGCGAUUGAAUGAGCCGAUGUCGGAUUAGCUAGUUGGCGGGGUAAAGGCCCACCAAGGCGACGAUCCGUAGCUGGUCUGAGAGGAUGAUCAGCCACACUGGAACUGAGACACGGUCCAGACUCCUACGGGAGGCAGCAGUGGGGAAUAUUGGACAAUGGGCGCAAGCCUGAUCCAGCCAUGCCGCGUGGGUGAAGAAGGCCUUCGGGUUGUAAAGCCCUUUUGUUGGGAAAGAAAAGCAGUCGGUUAAUACCCGAUUGUUCUGACGGUACCCAAAGAAUAAGCACCGGCUAACUUCGUGCCAGCAGCCGCGGUAAUACGAAGGGUGCAAGCGUUACUCGGAAUUACUGGGCGUAAAGCGUGCGUAGGUGGUGGUUUAAGUCUGUUGUGAAAGCCCUGGGCUCAACCUGGGAAUUGCAGUGGAUACUGGGUCACUAGAGUGUGGUAGAGGGUAGCGGAAUUCCCGGUGUAGCAGUGAAAUGCGUAGAGAUCGGGAGGAAC